rnacentral:rRNA from 1 species
CGGAUNAACGGGAGCUUGCUCCUGGCAUUCAGCGGCNGACGGGUNAGUAAUGCCUAUGAAUCNGCCUGGAUAGUGGGGGAUAACGUCCGGAAACGGGCGCUAAUACCGCNUACGUCCUGAGGGAGAAAGUGGGGGAUCUUCNGACCUCACGCUAUCANAUGAGCCUAAGUCGGAUUAGCUAGUUGGUGGGGUAAAGGCCUACCAAGGCGACGAUCCGUAACUGGUCUGAGANGAUGAUCANUCACACUGGAACUGANACACGGNCCAGACUCCUACGGGAGGCAG